rnacentral:lncRNA from 10 species
CCUUAGAUCAUGAGACCAGCCUAAGUGCCCAAGGAAAUGGAACAGCAGGGAGGGGGAGGGACAUCACACCCACUAUCAAAACUUCUUGUUAGUCUCUGGCUUCCACAUCCUUCCCCAAAACUUCAGCCCAAUUCACAGCCGCAUUUUUCCAUCUCUUUGCCAUUCCUCCAUGGGAGAGCUUUCUGUUGGUACAGGAAUAGCUGAGAAGUGGGAAAGAUCAAGGGUAGUAAGAGCUGCCCCCGAUAAUCUACAGAAAGCUUUGCUGGAAUGAGGUUGUGCAUCUCUGAACCUGAGCUAGAUUUGUUGGGUCAGGGACCAUACUUAUUUACUGGCCCAAGAAUUAGAAGAGGAGGUGUCUAAGAAAUGCUUGUUGAAUGAAUAAAUAAACAGCCGAGCAUUCCAAGCUAAAUCCCAGGAAGUACUAAAGAAGCAAUGCACAGACACAGUAUCAUACAAUUUGAGACACAGUAUUAUAAAAUUGAUGUGAACUUCUAGGCACAGUGUGCUCACAGUCUGUCUGGAAAUAACUUUGUAGCAAGCAUAGUUCCAGU